rnacentral:rRNA from 1 species
GACGAACGCUGGCGGCGUGCCUAAUACAUGCAAGUCGAACGAAGUGGCGCACGGGUGAGAAAUAUAUAGUUAAUCUGCCAUACACAGAGGAACAACAGUUGGAAACGACUGCUAAUACCUCAUAUGGUAGGAUGAGACUAUAUCGUAUCAGCUAGUUGGUAAGGUAAUGGCUUACCAAGGCUAAGACGCGUAACUGGUCUGAGAGGAUGAUCAGUCACAUUGGAACGGGGACACGGUCCAAACUCCUACUGGAGGCAGCAGUAAGGAAUAUUGCGCCAUGGGGGAAACCCUGACGCAGCAACGCCGCGUGGAGGAUGACACUUUUCGGAGCGUAAACUCCUUUUAUCAGGAAAGCGGUACCUGAUGAAUAAGCACCGGCUAACUCCGUGCCAGCCGCCGCGGUAAUUC